GACGAACGCUGGCGGCGUGCUUAACACAUGCAAGUCGAACGGAAACUCCCUGUUUUUGUGGGCUGCUCGAGUGGCGAACGGGGGAGCUACACGUGAGUUACCUGCCCCUGACUGUGGGAUAACUUCAUGAAACUGAGGCUAAUACCGGCUAGGAGCUACUGCCGUAUGGUGGGCGCUGGUUGGUUUCGGCUGUUGGGGAUGGAAUCGCGGCUCAUCAGCUUGUUGGUGGGGUAGUUGCAUACCAAGGCUUUGACGGGUAGCCGACCUGAGAGGGGAACCGGCCACAUUGGGACUGAGAUACGGCCCAGCCUACAACGGGAGGCAAGGGAGGAGAAGAGUACACAGUAGGCGGGAGCCAGGUGCGAUCCCGCCGCGUGGGGGAUGACGGCCUGCGGGUUGUGAACCACUUUCGCCUGAGACGAAGCGUGAAUGACGGUAAUGGGUGAAGAAGCACCGGCUAACUACGUG
rnacentral:rRNA from 1 species